GAGUCUGACUAGAGGAGGAGUGUAGAGCAGAGCUUUGCUCAGGACUCUUACAGUGGAGAUCAGUCUCCACAUGUACGGACACUCUGUAUGGCCCUGGUGCCCUGCACGCUUGGCUGUGAGGAUCACCACAGCCAUGGCCCCAACAGUGCCAGUCUUGGUUUAUUUCAACUCGGAGAGUGCUAGUCUCCCGGACUUAAUUAACCUUUCCAUAAUGCCUGUCUGGAGAUAAUCACAAAUAAGCAGACUUGGUGGCUAAGUUCCGCUCCUCUGAGGCCCACACUCAAAAUCAGCCAAGAGGUGAAAACAUAAAUAUCACGGCUGGCCAUGCUAUAGCAAACCGGAAAAAGGACACAAGUCUGAUCCAGAGGAACUACGGGAAAUGACCCGCAAGGGAAAGAAGUCACAGUGUAAUCCUGAGACCCACCCUUCCGGUCAGACAGGGUGGUCUGGUCAAGAUGGCGUUAAGCCAGAGCACUAUUCAACAUAAAUGAAUGAAGAAAAGACAGUGCUGAACUUCCACCCCCUUACAUUUCUGUCAGUCAAUGUACAAUAUAAACUGUAAAAAAAAAAAGAAGGAAGAAAAAAGUACUGGUAAUUUUCUGCCAGAAUAUUAUCCAUUAAUUUUAAGAACAUCUCCAUUAACCAUAAAACACAUUGCAAUGAAGUGCAAAAUGCAAAAUUCAAAAUCUGAGUAAAGAUUUCAAUAUGGAAACAAUUCCUUAAUUUUAAUAAAGUUCAUUGUGCCCAAUUUUUACAUAUUUUUACAAAAUAGAAGCAUUUUAUAACUGGAGGGCUGAUACUUUUGGACACCACUGUCCACUAUUUUCUUUUGUGCUUUUAUUUUGUGUGUGUGUGUUUCAGUUUAAAUAUUUAUGAAUUUGUGAAAUGAAAAUUUUUACCUAUUUGUGACCAAACAGCUGCGGAUGGACGGAUAUUUAAGGUACAUUUGACGUUUACAUACUGACUAUUUUCACGCCCAAGCACAUCUUUUUUUUCCCUGUUAUUUAUUGCGCCAAUACUUGACUCUAAUGCAAUACUUUCAAUGAUUUACAUCCUUAAUAAAUCUGCUAUCCAGCUCUGAUCAUAAUAUGGACUUAUGAUCAAUCAGAAGGGAAACAUGGAGCUUUGUAGAGAACCUUGAAACUGGCAAAGGCCAGGAUGAGGUACAGCACUGGGUUCAACCUCCUGUGCCUACUGAGCUGAUAACAGUUGAUGUAUUUAGCACUGGCUCAGUUCAGCAGGAACCGGAGUUAAGCCCCUUAAGACCAAGAGCGCUUUCGAAGACUCUGCGGCUUACAGAAAAUGCAGUCUUCUGUACAGAUCAUACUCCUCAGAACAAUUUUCAUUAUCCGCCAAGAUCUACAAGACUAUGGAGGAAAGCUGCUCCUGUAAUUUGAGCUUUAACCAAAUAAUAGGAGCAGAGGUUUUCCAGAUACAUUUCCAACUGGAUCAUCUGUGCCAGGCAAAAUGUAAUAAUUCAGCUAAAUGACUCCUAAUAUGUCAGUCUCACUCUGUUCAAGAACUCGAUCAUGUUUCACUUCCACGAGGGAAUGAGUGUCAUAAACUGAAAGAAAGGGGAAAAAAAUUACAGAAAUAAUAAAAUAACCUUUUAAACUGCCAUUCGCUUCCAUUUAUUUGUUGUAUGAAUUCAUGCAAAAGGUGUCAAAUAAGAAAAUCACCACUCUCUUUUCUUUCAAAUGAGCCUUGGCGUUGCAGAAAGACUUUAUUUCCAAAGUUUCAUAACAGAUCAAUUGAUGAGAUGUGAAGAGGGACAUUAGGGUUUACAGAGCACACAGAUUUAUUGCAGC
ensembl:lncRNA